ACGAACGCUGGCGGCGUGCUUAACCCCUGCCAGUCGCACGGAAAGGCCCUGCUUUUGUGGGGUGCUCGAGUGGCGAACGGGUGAGUAACACGUGAGUAACCUGCCCUUGACUUUGGGAUAACUUCAGGAAACUGGGGCUAAUACCGGAUAGGAGCUCCUGCUGCAUGGUGGGGGUUGGAAAGUUUCGGCAGUUGGGGAUGGACUCGCGGCUUAUCAGCUUGUUGGUGGGGUAGUGGCUUACCAAGGCUUUGACGGGUAGCCGGCCUGAGAGGGUGACCGGCCACAUUGGGACUGAGAUACGGCCCAGACUCCUACGGGAGGCAGCAGUGGGGAAUAUUGCACAAUGGGCGGAAGCCUGAUGCAGCAACGCCGCGUGCGGGAUGACGGCCUUCGGGUUGUAAACCGCUUUCGCCUGUGACGAAGCGUGAGUGACGGUAAUGGGUAAAGAAGCACCGGCUAACUACGUG
rnacentral:rRNA from 1 species